rnacentral:sRNA from 1 species
AGAAAUUGUAAGGGAGAGGCUUUGAGAUAAAACCCCAGGAAGAACUUCCCGAGUCUGUGCAUGUUGGGGCAGAAAGAGCGGCAGAGCCAACUCCUUCCCUGCUCCACAGCACCUGUUGCCUUCAUUAGCAGCUUUUCCUCCUCUUCCCUGCACUUCCCAGAACCAAAGAAUGUGAAGGGGGUCCAUGGAGGUGAGUGAAGCUCUGGCUUCAACCUACAAGUACCUACAACUGUAUACUCCCUCUCCUGCCUACCUCUCUCUUUGACCUCCCAUUAUUAGAAGUUAACUCCUUGGCCCUGACAUCUCGAUUCCCAUACACCUCCCUCCACCCCAUCUUCCCGAGGUGAGUAGCACCCCGUGUUCCUAGUUCAGGCCCCAGCCCACCUUCCCUCGUGUUGUCCUUCUGGCCCUCGAGGCGACGCCCUUGCUUCCUUUACAGCUCUACCUUCACCCUUUGCUCUACGCAGAUCUUUCUCCACAGGGCUCACGUCCCCGCGCCCCGAGCGGCCACUUAGCGCCGUCGCCGCCGGCUUUCGACGGCGAGCUGGAUCUGCAGCGAUACUCCAACGGGCCAGCCGUGAGCGCAGCGUCGCUCGGGAUGGGAG